rnacentral:rRNA from 1 species
UACGUAGGGGGCUAGCGUUGUCCGGAAUCAUUGGGCGUAAAGAGCGUGUAGGCGGCCCGGUAAGUCCGCUGUGAAAGUCGGGGGCUCAACCCUCGGAUGCCGGUGGAUACUGUCGGGCUCGAGUACGGAAGAGGCGAGUGGAAUUCCUGGUGUAGCGGUGAAAUGCGCAGAUAUCGGGAGGAACACCAAUGGCGAAGGCAGCUCGCUGGGACGGUACUGACGCUGAGGCGCGAAAGCGUGGGGAGCAAACAGG